rnacentral:rRNA from 1 species
GAUGAACGCUGGCGGCGUGCCUAAUACAUGCAAGUCGAGCGAACGGACGAGAAGCUUGCUUCUCUGAUGUUAGCGGCGGACGGGUGAGUAACACGUGGAUAACCUACCUAUAAGACUGGGAUAACUUCGGGAAACCGGAGCUAAUACCGGAUAAUAUUUUGAACCGCAUGGUUCAAAAGUGAAAGACGGUCUUGCUGUCACUUAUAGAUGGAUCCGCGCUGCAUUAGCUAGUUGGUAAGGUAACGGCUUACCAAGGCAACGAUGCAUAGCCGACCUGAGAGGGUGAUCGGCCACACUGGAACUGAGACACGGUCCAGACUCCUACGGGAGGCAGCAGUAGGGAAUCUUCCGCAAUGGGCGAAAGCCUGACGGAGCAACGCCGCGUGAGUGAUGAAGGUCUUCGGAUCGUAAAACUCUGUUAUUAGGGAAGAACAUAUGUGUAAGUAACUGUGCACAUCUUGACGGUACCUAAUCAGAAAGCCACGGCUAACUACGUGCCAGCAGCCGCGGUAAUACGUAGGUGGCAAGCGUUAUCCGGAAUUAUUGGGCGUAAAGCGCGCGUAGGCGGUUUUUUAAGUCUGAUGUGAAAGCCCACGGCUCAACCGUGGAGGGUCAUUGGAAACUGGAAAACUUGAGUGCAGAAGAGGAAAGUGGAAUUCCAUGUGUAGCGGUGAAAUGCGCAGAGAUAUGGAGGAACACCAGUGGCGAAGGCGACUUUCUGGUCUGUAACUGACGCUGAUGUGCGAAAGCGUGGGGAUCAAACAGGAUUGGAUACCCUGGUAGUCCACGCCGUAAACGAUGAGUGCUAAGUGUUAGGGGGUUUCCGCCCCUUAGUGCUGCAGCUAACGCAUUAAGCACUCCGCCUGGGGAGUACGACCGCAAGGUUGAAACUCAAAGGAAUUGACGGGGAUCCGCACAAGCGGUGGAGCAUGUGGUUUAAUUCGAAGCAACGCGAAGAACCUUACCAAAUCUUGACAUCCUUUGACAACUCUAGAGAUAGAGCUUUCCCCUUCGGGGGACAAAGUGACAGGUGGUGCAUGGUUGUCGUCAGCUCGUGUCGUGAGAUGUUGGGUUAGGUCCCGCAACGAGCGCAACCCUUAAGCUUAGUUGCCAUCAUUAAGUUGGGCACUCUAAGUUGACUGCCGGUGACAAACCGGAGGAAGGUGGGGAUGACGUCAAAUCAUCAUGCCCCUUAUGAUUUGGGCUACACACGUGCUACAAUGGACAAUACAAAGGGCAGCGAAACCGCGAGGUCAAGCAAAUCCCAUAAAGUUGUUCUCAGUUCGGAUUGUAGUCUGCAACUCGACUACAUGAAGCUGGAAUCGCUAGUAAUCGUAGAUCAGCAUGCUACGGUGAAUACGUUCCCGGGUCU